rnacentral:rRNA from 1 species
UUAUUGGAGAGUUUGAUCCUGGCUCAGGACGAACGCUGGCGGCGUGCCUAAUACAUGCAAGUCGAGCGAAUCUGAGG